GGCAGGCAGACCUGGAGCAGAAAUGCAGCCAGAGCAGCAGCUCAGCCAGGACCUGGGGGCCAGCCACCAGCUACGGAAGGGAGCUUGGAGCAGGAACACUCAAGAACUACUGGCCAGAGCCUCCAUCAGGAAACAUUUGGAUUAGGAACAGUUUUCUAAAGGGAAGGAGAACAGAGCAGGCCUCUUGCUUUUUCUUGACUCCCACACAGUGCUGCCAUCACUGCUGGCUCGGAAGGAGGCCCCAGAGCUGCUGAUGUGGCUGUCCAGGGGCGCUAUCCCUCUUCCAGCAACUUAGUGAUUGUAAUUGCAAGAACCACCAAUGCCUUGUGUCCUGU